GAUCCAUCAGAGACCAGAUUUUGCUGGACCUGGACCUGAACCUGAACCCAGCUGUGUGUCCUUCAAGAGUGACGGGUCCAUUGGUCGCUUCAUUGAUUUUAAGCAAAAACAUUUAUCAGACAAAAAGAUCCAUCCGAGACCAGACUCUGCUGGACCUGAACCUGGACCCAGCUGUGUGUCCUUCAAGAGUGACGGGUCCAUUGGUCGCUUCAUUGAUUUUAAAGAUGUCGGACCGUCUGCUGCACAGAGCUUCGUUCUUCAAACAUUUAGAUUCUCACAUCUGAAAACUGACCAGCAGAACCAGCAGAACCAGUAGAACCAGAAGAACCAGUAGAAGCAGAAGAACCAGUAGAAGCAGUAGAAUCAGUAGAACCAGUAGAACCAGUAGAAUCA